rnacentral:rRNA from 1 species
GACGUAGGGCGCGAGCGUUGUCCGGAUUUAUUGGGCGUAAAGAGCUCGUAGGCGGCUUGUCGCGUCGACCGUGAAAACUCGCAGCUCAACUGCGAGCCUGCGGUCGAUACGGGCAGGCUAGAGUUCGGUAGGGGAGACUGGAAUUCCUGGUGUAGCGGUGAAAUGCGCAGAUAUCAGGAGGAACACCGGUGGCGAAGGCGGUUCUCUGGGCCUUACCUGACGCUGAGGAGCGAAAGCAUGGGGAGCAAACAGG